AUUUCUUAGAGACAAAUGGUUUUAAACUCAUGACUUAUCACUAUUUUAUUAAUUAAGAAAUCAUUUAUCCACAGCAUGAAACUGCCAAGAACAAAAUGAAUUACAAACAGAAAGACUUGGAUAACUUUACCAGCAAAGGAAAACACUUGUUAUCUGAGCUGAAAAAAAUUCACAGUAGUGAUUUCAGCUUGGUGAAAACAGACAUGGAGAGCACCGUGGACAAAUGGCUGGAUGUAUCAGAGAAACUUGAAGAGAACAUGGAUAGGCUGAGAGUAAGCCUGUCCAUUUGGGAUGAUGUACUGUCAAGUAGAGAUGAGAUUGAGGGAUGGUCAAACAACUGCGUUCCACAGAUGGCAGAAAACAUCAGCAACCUGGAUAACCGCCUCAGAGCUGAAGAACUGCUUAAAGAAUUUGAGUCUGAAGUUAAAAACAAAGCAUUGAGAUUGGAAGAACUGCAUUCCAAAGUUAAUGAUCUGAAAGAAUUAACUAAAAAUCUAGAAACACCGCCAGACCUUCAGUUUAUAGAAGCAGACUUAAGGCAGAAACUGGAGCAUGCC
rnacentral:sRNA from 1 species